rnacentral:rRNA from 1 species
CAGUAGCCGCGGUAAUACGAAGGGCGCAAGCGUUAAUCGGAAUUACUGGGCGUAAAGGGUGCGUAGGCGGUUUCGUAAGUCUUAUGUGAAAUCUCUGGGCUCAACCCAGAGUCUGCAUGGGAAACUGCGAGGCUUGAGGAUGGGAGAGGUGAGUGGAAUUUCCGGUGUAGCGGUGAAAUGCGUAGAUAUCGGAAGGAACACCUGUGGCGAAAGCGGCUCACUGGACCAUUUCUGACGCUGAUGCACGAAAGCUAGGGGAGCAAACAGGAUUAGAUACCCCAGUAGUCCCUGUCUCUAUACC